UACAGAGGUCUCAAGCGUUGUUCGGAAUCACUGGGCGUAAAGGGCGCGUAGGUGGCGCGAGUAGUCAACGGUGAAAGCCCGGGGCUCAACCCCGGGUCGGCCGUCGAUACUCUCGUGCUUGAGCACUGUAGAGGCAGGUGGAAUUCCAGGUGUAGCGGUGGAAUGCGUAGAGAUCCGGAAGAACACCGGUGGCGAAGGCGGCCUGCUGGGCAGUAGCUGACACUGAGGCGCGACAGCGUGGGGAGCAAACAGG
rnacentral:rRNA from 1 species